AAAACUAAUAAAAAUAAUUUAUUAUUUACCAAAGACAAUUUAUUAUUAAUUUAUUGGUAAAUAAUAAAUUAAAACACUUCAUUAUGUAUAAAGCCAUAAAUAACUUUCCGCAUCAUUUAUCAUUUACUACCAGCAAGACAUCUGUUAACAGUUUACACACAUUAUCUAAUUUAACCCCUAUGGUUAUUAAUAGGCUCCAUUUAAAGAAGCCCAAAGGUCACUGACUUUUCCAAGUUUUGAAAUAUUAAUGGAUAAAAUGGGCAUUUUAACCCAGUUCUUCUCAAGCUGAAAAUCAAAUGAAUUAUUGUUUAAAAUAUUAAAUGCAAAAUCAUAACUGUGUGAAAAAUUUAAUGAGCCAAUUUUUAAUUUUACAUUGAACUGACUUUAUGUAGAAAAGGCUAACGUAAGAAAAGGUAAUGAGAGAUUUGACUGAAAAAUUAUUUUAAAUGACUUCACAAGAAAAACCCAUAAAUUGCAGAUAAAAUUAGUAUUAUAUCUAUCAAAUAGUAAAAAUUUACAUGAAAAAGUGAUAUUAUCAAUUGAAAAAAAAAUAAUGUUUGUACAAUUAGGAAGAGACAGGGAACAUACCUUACUAAAUAAGAAAUACAGAGGCAGCAUUAACAUAUAAAAAAUGCUGAAAUACAUACAAACUAAUAUGUAAAAAUUUUUAAGGUGAAAAAUCAUUUUAGAAUUUAGAGAUGGG
rnacentral:lncRNA from 1 species